AUUGAACGCUGGCGGCAGGCCUAACACAUGCAGGUCGAACGGUAGCACAGAGAGCUUGCUCUCGGGUGACGAGUGGCGGACGGGUGAGUAACGUCUGGGAAACUGCCCGAUGGAGGGGGAUAACUACUGGAAACGGUAGCUAAUACCGCAUAACGUCGCAAGACCAAAGUGGGGGACCUUCGGGCCCCACACCAUCGGAUGUGCCCAGAUGGGAUUAGCUAGUAGGUGGGGUAAUGGCUCACCUAGGCGACGAUCCCUAGCUGGUCUGAGAGGAUGACCAGCCACACUGGAACUGAGACACGGUCCAGACUCCUACGGGAGGCAGCAGUGGGGAAUAUUGCACAAUGGGCGCAAGCCUGGUGCAGCCAUGCCGCGUGUAUGAAGAAGGCCUUCGGGUUGUAAAGUACUUUCAGCGGGGAGGAAGGCGGUGAAGUUAAUAGCUUCACCGAUUGACGUUACCCGCAGAAGAAGCACCGGCUAACUCCGUGCCAGCCGCCGCCGUAA
rnacentral:rRNA from 1 species